rnacentral:rRNA from 1 species
UCCUACGGGAGGCAGCAGUGAGGAAUAUUGGACAAUGGGCGCAAGCCUGAUCCAGCCAUGCCGCGUGCAGGAUGACGGUCCUAUGGAUUGUAAACUGCUUUUGCACAGGAAGAAACAACUCUACGUGUAGAGUCUUGACGGUACUGUGAGAAUAAGGAUCGGCUAACUCCGUGCC